UUGUCGUCAGCUCGUGUCGUGAGAUUGUUGGGUUUAAGUCCCGCAACGGAGCCGCAACCCCUGUCCUGUGUUGCUACUCCGCAAGGAGAGGACUCUCAGGAGACUGCCGUGGAUAACACGGAGGAAGGUGGGAUGACGUCAAAUCAUCAUGGCCUUUAUGUCCAGGGCUACACACGUGAUACAAUGGUACAGACAGAGGGCUGCAAGACCGUAAGGUGGAGCCAAUCCCUAAACUGUAUCCCAGUUCAGAUCGAGGGCUGCAAUUCGCCCUCGUGAAGUUGGAAUCGCUAGUAAUCGCAGAUCAGCAGGCUGCGAUGAAUACGUUCCCGGGCCUU
rnacentral:rRNA from 1 species